rnacentral:tRNA from 1 species
GCGGGGGUGGCAGAGCCUGGUCAAAUGCGUAGGACUUAAGAUCCUAUCUCUUAGUGGGUACGGGGGUUCAAAUCCCCUCCCCCGCA